rnacentral:rRNA from 1 species
UACGGAGGAUGCAAGCGUUAUCCGGAUUUAUUGGGUUUAAAGGGUGCGUAGGCGGGACUGUAAGUCAGGGGUGAAAUACUGCAGCUUAACUGUAGCAUUGCCUUUGAAACUGCCGUUCUUGAGUACAGUUGAGGUAGGCGGAAUGUGGUGUGUAGCGGUGAAAUGCAUAGAUAUACCACAGAACGCCGAUUGCGAAGGCAGCUUACUAAGCUGUUACUGACGCUGAGGCACGAAAGCGUGGGGAUCAAACAGGAUUAGAUACCCUGGUAGUCCACGCUGUAAACGAUGAUUACUGGUUGUUAGCGAUAUAUAGCUAGUGACUGAGCGAAAGCAUUAAGUAAUCCACCUGGGGAGUACGUCGGCAACGAUGAA